GACGAACGCUGGCGGCGUGCUUAACACAUGCAAGUCGAACGGUAAGGCCCUGCUUUUGCGGGUUGCUCGAGUGGCGCACGGGUGAGUAACACGUGAGUAACCUGCCCUUGACUUUGGGAUAACUUCAGGAAACUGGGGCUAAUACCGGAUAGGAGCUCCUGCUGCAUGGUUGGGUUUGGAAAGUUUCGGCGGUUGGGGAUGGACUCGCGGCCUAUCAGCUUGUUGGUGGGGUAGUGGCUUACCAAGGCUUUGACGGGUAGCCGGCCUGAGAGUGUGACCGGCCACAUUGGGACUGAGAUACGGCCCAGACUCCUACGGGAGGCAGCAGUGGGGAAUAUUGCACGAUGGGCGGAAGCCGGAUGCAGCAACGCCGCGUGCUGGAGGACGGCCUUCGGGUGGUAAACCGCUUUCGCCUGUAACGAAGCGUGAGUGACGGUAAUGGGUAAAGAAGCACCGGCUAACUACGUG
rnacentral:rRNA from 1 species